AGUUGAAGGAAGAGCACCAGUAUGGCACAUGUGGUCAAGAGAACACCUAAGCCUACUGCCUAUGCACGGGCAACAUCCCAGCUGAAGAAAUGUAAAGUAUCCUGUCGUCUUAAGUGCAAGUAUUCCAUCAAGAACCAACAUGCUUUAUGCUACAAAUGUUGUGAUGAGAUAACAGGAAAGGGAAAGAGAGUUUUUCGACUGGCAUCAAAAGUGAAGGGAACCAUCAAACUAAGGAUUGUUAAAGAUACUUGUCAUUAUGCUCAAGAAUUAACCGCCUACCAGUAAGUGAAUGAGACGGCCAACUUGACAUCACAAAAGAAGAAGUUCUAUCACACCUCAAAAAAGCCCUAGUUCCUAAUGAAUACGUGGCUAGCUCCUAGGCCCUAAGUGGGUUCAAAGACCUAAGAAACAUCAGUGAAAGGGUCUAGGAGCUGAGCCAUCGUCACGAUGUUAUGGGCAAAUUUUACAGCAUGAUAGUCAUAGAUAGGAUGAUGACAAUAAAAUCAAUCAUGUGUGAAAA